rnacentral:rRNA from 1 species
AUAUUGUAGAGAAAUCUGUUUGAAGUUAGUAUUGUGAAAAAGUAGUAGAUUAUGGUUUCGUGAGAGAUGAUUUAUAUUAUUAGAAAUUAUUAAUUAGUGUUCUUUUUGUAUCAUGAUUUGUAAAGAGUGUAAGAAAAUUUUAUAUCCUGAAAAUUUUAGAGUAAUUCUUAUGUAUUUCUAAUGUUUCAAAAUUAGGGAAAAGAUAAGAAUGGUAAUGAUAUGUUUUUCGAGAAAAUUGAUAGCUGGUUUAAAGGGAAAUAUAUUUAAGUAUAGAUAAAAUUUAUCUAUUAAAAUUAUAGUUGGAUAAAAAUUUUAAUAGGGUUUUAAUUCAGAUUUUAGGGGUAAGCUCUAAAGUGUAGGGGGAAAUAUGUAGUUAGUUAGUAGGGUUGAUAUUGGCCACCUAUAAGAAGUAUUAUUAUAAAGUGAUUACAAAAAAGUUUUCGGUUAAGUACCUUUAUGGUUAUAAUAAUUAUUAAUGAAGAACUUAGUAUAAAAUCAGUAAUAAAUGUUAUAUAAGGUGAAAAUUGUUUUAAAUAAAGAGUUACAAAUGUUGAUUUUUCAAUAGGAGGUUUAUUUUCUAUAAAUGUUUUUAAAAGGAAUUCGGCUAAUUUUUUUUACGCCUGUUUAUCAAAAACAUGGCCUUUUGGUUUGUGCGGACAUAAAAGGUUUGACCUGCCCGGUGGUUUAUCUAAACGGCUGCAGUGAAUAACUGUACAAAGGUAGCGAAAUCAGUUGUCCUUUAAAUGGGGAAAGGUAUGAAAGGUUUGACGAUAAAAAAGCUGUCUCUUAAAAAUAGUAUGAAGUUUCCGUUUAAGUGAAAAGGCUUAAAUUUUUUAAAAAGACGAGAAGACCCUAUUGAGCUUGAUUAUAUUUUUUUAGAGAAAAAAGUUGAAGUUUUAUUGGGGCAAUAGGAAGCUAAAAGAAACGCUUCUUUUUAAGGUAAAGAUCCUUCAUGGGAGAAGUAAGCAAAAGCUACCAUAGGGAUAACAGCGUUAUCUUUCUUAAGAGUUCUGAUUAAGGGAAAGGUUUGCGACCUCGAUGUUGGAUUAAAAUAUCUUUUUGGUGCAGCAGCUAAAAAAGUAAGACUGUUCGUCUUUUAAAAUUUUACAUGAACUGAGUUAAGACCGGUGUGAACUAGGUCGGUUUCUAUCUUUUUUUUAUAGCAGCUUUGUACGAAAGGAUCGGCUGGUAAUGUUUUACUUUUUUCCUAAUAGAAUGA